rnacentral:rRNA from 1 species
GACGAACGCUGGCGGCGUGCCUAAUACAUGCAAGUAGAACGCAGUUGCGAACGGGUGAGUAACGCGUAGGUAACUGCCUCAUAGCGGGGGAUAACUAUUGGAAACGAUAGCUAAUACCGCAUAAUGUGAGAUGGACCUGCGUUGUAUUAGCUAGUUGGUGAGGGAAAGGCUCACCAAGGCGACGAUACAUAGCCGACCUGAGAGGGUGAUCGGCCACCCUGGGACUGAUACACGGCCCAUACUCCUACGGGAGGCAGCAGUAGGGAAUCUUCCGCAAUGUACGAAAGUCUUACCGAGCAACGCCGCGUUAGUGAAGAAGGUUUUCGGUUCGUAAAACUCUUUUGUUCGAGAAGCGGUAUCUAACCAGAAAGGGACGGCUAACUACGUGCCAGCAGCCGCGGUAAUUC